rnacentral:rRNA from 1 species
GACGAACGCUGGCGGCGUGCUUAACACAUGCGAGUCGAACGAUGAAGCCUUCGGGUGGAUUAGUGGCGAACGGGUGAGUAACACGUGGGUGAUCUGCCCUGCACUUUGGGAUAAGCCUGGGAAACUGGGUCUAAUACCGAAUAUGAUCAUGCUCUUCAUGGGGUGUGGUGGAAAGCUUUUGCGGUGUGGGAUGGGCCCGCGGCCUAUCAGCUUGUUGGUGGGGUAAUGGCCUACCAAGGCGACGACGGGUAGCCGGCCUGAGAGGGUGACCGGCCACACUGGGACUGAGAUACGGCCCAGACUCCUACGGGAGGCAGCAGUGGGGAAUAUUGCACAAUGGGCGCAAGCCUGAUGCAGCGACGCCGCGUGAGGGAUGACGGCCUUCGGGUUGUAAACCUCUUUCAGCAGGGACGAAGCGAAAGUGACGGUACCUGCAGAAGAAGGACCGGCCAACUACGUGCCAGCCGCCGCAGUAA